GACGAACGCUGGCGGCGUGCUUAACACAUGCAAGUCGAGCGGUAAGGCCCUUUCGGGGGUACACGAGCGGCGAACGGGUGAGUAACACGCGGGUGACCUGCCCUCAGCUCUGGGAUAAGCCUGGGAAACCGGGUCUAAUACUGGAUAUGACUCCAUGACGCAUGUUGUGGGGUGGAAAGCCUUGUGCGGCUGAGGAUGGGCCCGCGGCCUAUCAGCUUGUUGGUGGGGUGANGGCCUACCAAGGCGACGACGGGUAGCCGGCCUGAGAGGGCGACCGGCCACACUGGGACUGAGACACGGCCCAGACUCCUACGGGAGGCAGCAGUGGGGAAUCUUGCGCAAUGGGCGAAAGCCUGACGCAGCGACGCCGCGUGAGGGAUGACGGCCU
rnacentral:rRNA from 1 species